rnacentral:rRNA from 1 species
UACGUAGGGGGCAAGCGUUGUCCGGAAUUAUUGGGCGUAAAGAGCGCGUAGGCGGUCCGAUAAGUCGGCUGUGAAAGUCAGGGGCUCAACCCUUGGAAGCCGGCCGAUACUGUCGGACUAGAGUCCGGAAGAGGCGAGUGGAAUUCCCGGUGUAGCGGUGAAAUGCGCAGAUAUCGGGAAGAACACCCGUGGCGAAGGCGGUUCUCUGGGACGGUACUGACGCUGAGACGCGAAAGCGUGGGGAGCGAACAGG